CCCUAUGAAUAAAUUAAAUGGCCGCAGUAUUCUGACUGUGCAAAGGUAGCAUAAUCAUUUGUCUCUUAAUUGGGGGCUGGAAUGAAGGAGGUAAUGAAAUACAAACUUUUGUUUUUUAAAGCAAAAUUGACAUAAGAGUCAAAAGGCUCUUAUAACUCUGAGGGACGAUAAGACCCUAUAAAACUUUACUUUAAAUUAAAUCCCGCAAGGUGCGGAGGAGAAUAAGAGUUGGACUGGGGCGGUUUUUACUAAACCUGUAUAAAUUUAAAUAUAAAAAAUAAAAUAUUAUAACUUUAUUAGGAAUUUAACUAAGUUACUUUAGGGAUAACAGCAUAAUCCCCCCAGAGAGUUCAAAUCGGCGGGGGGGAUUAUGACCUCGAUGUUGAAUUGAGAAAAUUUUUAUGGGCAGCCCCAUAAAAAAUUAGUCUGUUCGACUAUUGAAUUCUC
rnacentral:rRNA from 1 species